ACAUCAGGACAAUCCUUAAACCAUGGUGGAAACAGAGCCAUACAGUGAGUCAGAUUCUUCUUUGAACUUACCGGGAAGAUCUAGGUUACAGCCAUCAAAUGUCUUGAGCACUUGAGUCAAUUCUGAUCUCUGCUAAGAUUUACUGCCAGUGUAGUGUAAAAGUCUGCUGCACUCCCAGCCAAAACUUCCCUGCCUGGUCAUCCCUCAUUCUUCCUGUGGUACAUCUGCAUGACUGACAGGGUUGACUGGUAUAAAAAAAAAAAUGCUCACCUCGACCUUCUUUAUUGCUACAUCGAGGAAGCUCACUACAGAAAAGAGUACAGGUGUACUCUUUCCUACUGCUCGAGAUUUACUUGUGUCCCUGGUGUGUUGUGAUAAGCCUCUGAAUGUCACUGCUCUGAAGGUUUUGUUCUUCCCAAAGACUCUCCUGAGGUUCAGUGAAGGCAAGCAGGGUUUGCUUGGGCUUAAAGGUGUGUCCAGAGCUACAGUGUCAGCACAAGUUCCAAAAAACUCAUGGUAAAGUGUCUGCUUUCACCUCUCAGAUUCAAGCUGAUUAAAGGAUUUGAGGAAAAGUGCUGGGGGCAAUGAAGAACAAUGAAGAUCGUUUAGAUGAGCUGCAGCACUACUGGUCUUCUGAUGAACUUUUCAAUAUUUGGGAUGAGUGGCAAAUUUUUCAGCAAAUCCAAGGGAACCAGAAGAGGGGUGGUCAGCUUAGCAAGAGAAACCAAGGCACCAGUGUCCUGCUCUCAGGUUGAUGGUUGCUCUUCAACAUUUGGCCAAGGUCAGACAGGAGAAUGGAGAUCAAGCACAUCCAUGAAAAGGGUGUCUGGCUGGGAUCGCAUCUGUGAAGCAGCACAGUCACCAAGGAGCAGAUUUCCAGUCAACCAGGAGUGGUACAAGCUUGGCCAGGGACUCCAGGCAGUGGCUGGUUGGUUCUGCAAGGCCUAG
rnacentral:lncRNA from 12 species